AGAUAACGUUGCUGUAAAUGGACAAGGAGCUAAAGCUGACUGUGGACCAUCUGGAGUACCAAAUGGGCAAUGGAUAAAAAUACCAAGACCUGGGUAUGCAGCAGGUGGCUACACUCCACUUGGACACAG